rnacentral:rRNA from 1 species
UACGUAGGGUGCGAGCGUUGUCCGGAAUUACUGGGCGUAAAGAGCUCGUAGGUGGUUUGUCGCGUUGUUCGUGAAAACUCACAGCUUAACUGUGGGCGUGCGGGCGAUACGGGCAGACUGGAGUACUGCAGGGGAGACUGGAAUUCCUGGUGUAGCGGUGGAAUGCGCAGAUAUCAGGAAGAACACCGGUGGCGAAGGCGGAUCUCUGGGCCUUACCUGACGCUCAGGUGCGAAAGCUAGGGGAGCGAACAGG